AUGACCAGCCAAAGGCUUACCCAUCAUACAAAUCUAUAAUCCCUGGUAAUUUUGGUUGAUUGGGAAAAAAUAAAUCUUGAUUUUUUCCCUUAUUUAUGGUGAUGCGCAUAUUUCAGUAAUAUAUGCUCCAAGAUUUGUUUUUGUGAUUCUACACUCAAACUGUAUUAGGUUAUUUGAAUUUUGUUUUGCAUUUUUCGGAUUUCUAACUGUUUUGAUAAUUUUCUCCUUUGAUAGACAGAGAAUUCCUCACUUUUCAAAAGGGAAAAUUUGUUGAGUUAUAGAAGGAAAGAUUUGGAGCAAUACAAGUUCUCAUAAUUUCAGGUUCGCAUUGUUUGGUGUGAUAUUGGAAUAUGUCCAAGGUCUGGAUGAUGCUUAAAAUAUCAACCGAAUUCAUGAAAUUGACGAACGGAAUCCAUGCCAGAUCCCGGUUGGAUCACCCGUAAGUGGUAUGAAAUUGACUGGAAGUGUACUAAGGUUAUCAGUUUAGAUGCGUUGUUAGUCGCGAAAAUGCGAUGAAUUGCAUGGGGUCAAGUAAUGGGUACCAUCCAGUGAGGGUCGUCUGUAAAGCACUUAAAAAGAAGGAUGAUUCUAAACAGACUGAGAAACUGGACUACACCAAAACAAUAUCUCACUUUAUGUCUCACAAUUUUUUUUGUGUGGUCCCGGUGAGCCCCGCGGAGGACAGAAGGGGUCCCAUUUUUUGGGUUUGUUGUGUCUAGCGGUUUCCGCGUGGUUUUAUUCACACGGUUCACCAAGAAUUUUUGUAAAAAGAAAUGCAGAUGAAAAUCUACAUCAAGGUGUUACUUUCUUGAACAUCAAUACGAAACUCUGGUCAAAGUAAAGAGUUUUAUUGAAAUGCAAAAUUAUUCUUUAGAGUUACUGUAUAUAAAGGAUGACAAACCUAUCGUAUUAAAUGGGAUUUCACAAGAAUCUAACCCAGUUAUACACUUUGAGCAGGACAUGAACCUAGAAGUUGGCACCUCGACAAACGUAUCAGAUCAGUUUGAAGGGGAGAUGAUUGGGAUAUCAAUGUCAGCUGUAGUUAUACUGUUUGUAAAUCCUUGGCUCUUUGUAUAUGUGUAAUGUUCGAGAAGUCUUCUUAGUUUGUUUCCCAAUCAGUACAAUUUAUCCACGGUUAAGGUUUAAAUAUAAUGCCUUGGAUAUGGUUCUUAAAUAUUUGCAGUGUUGCAUUUGCUAUUUUUAUUUUCUCCAAAUCUAGACAGUUUUUUCGG